GAACGCUGGACGGCGUGACUUAACACAUCGCAAGGUCGAACGGGGUGGCCCUUUGUAAAAGAGGAAUUCGUCCAAAUUGUAGAAGGUUACCGUAGUGGCGGACGGGUGAGUAACGCGUGAGUAACCUGCCUUGGAUGGGGAUAACACAUCGAAAGAUGUGCUAAUACCGCAUAAUGCAGUUGGGCCGCAUGGCUCUGACUGCCAAAGAUUUAUCGCUCUGAGAUGGACUCGCGUCUGAUUAGCUGGUUGCGGGGUAACGGCCCACCAAGGCGACGAUCAGUAGCCGGACUGAGAGGUUGACCGGCCACAUUGGGACUGAGACACGGCCCAGACUCCUACGGGAGGCAGCAGUGGGGAAUAUUGGGCAAUGGGCGCAAGCCUGACCCAGCAACGCCGCGUGAAGGAAGAAGGCUUUCGGGUUGUAAACUUCUCUUAUCAGGGACGAAGCAAGUGACGGUACCUGAUGAAUAAGCCACGGCUAACUACGUG
rnacentral:rRNA from 1 species